rnacentral:rRNA from 1 species
UACGUAGGGUGCGAGCGUUAAUCGGAAUUACUGGGCGUAAAGCGUGCGCAGGCGGUUUGUUAAGUCUGAUGUGAAAGCCCCGGGCUCAACCUGGGAACUGCAUUGGAAACUGGCAAGCUCGAGUAUGGCAGAGGGGGGUGGAAUUCCGCGUGUAGCAGUGAAAUGCGUAGAGAUGCGGAGGAACACCGAUGGCGAAGGCAGCCCCCUGGGCCAAUACUGACGCUCGGGCACGAAAGCGUGGGGAGCAAACAGG